UAGGGAAUCUUGCGCAAUGGGCGAAAGCCUGACGCAGCAACGCCGCGUGGGGGAUGAAGGCCUUCGGGUUGUAAACUCCUUUUAGUGGGAACGAAAUUGACGGUACCCACAGAAAAAGCCCCGGCUAACUACGUGCCAGCAGCCGCGGUGAUACGUAGGGGGCGAGCGUUGUCCGGAUUCACUGGGCGUAAAGAGCUCGUAGGUGGCUUAGUAAGUCGGCGUGUCAAAUCUCCAGGCUUAACCUGGAGUCGCACCCGAUACUGCUAUAGCUAGAGUCCGGUAGGGGACCAUGGAAUUCCUGGUGUAGCGGUGAAAUGCGCAGAUAUCAGGAGGAACACCAGUAGCGAAGGCGGUGGUCUGGGCCGGUACUGACACUGAGGAGCGAAAGCGUGGGGAGCGAACAGGAUUAGAUACCCUGGUAGUCCACGCCGUAAACGUUGGGCACUAGGUGUGGGACCCUAUCGACGGGUUCCGUGCCGCAGCUAACGCAUUAAGUGCCCCGCCUGGGGAGUACGGCCGCAAGGCUA
rnacentral:rRNA from 1 species